rnacentral:rRNA from 1 species
AUUGAACGCUGGCGGCAGGCCUAACACAUGCAAGUCGAACGAGUGGCGGACGGGUGAGUAAUGUCUGGAAAACUGCCUGAUGGAGGGGGAUCAAUAGUGGAAAACGUCUCUUAUACCGCAAUCUCUCAUCUGUGCCUAGAUGGGAUUAGCGUGUUGGGGGGGUAUCGGCUCAUCAAGGCGACGAUCCCUAGCUGGUCUGAGAGGAAGACCAGCCACACUGGAACUGAGACACGGUCCAGACUCCUACGGGAGGCAGCAGUGGGGAAUAUUGCACAAUGGGCGAAAGCCUGAUGCAGCCAUGCCGCGUGUAUGAAGAAGGCCUUCGGGUUGUAAAGUACGUUCAGCGGGGAGGCGUUACCCGCAGAAGAAGCACCGGCUAACUCCGUGCCAGCAGCCGCGGUAAUAC